UACGAACUGUGCGAACGUUAUUCGGAAUCACUGGGCUUACAGGGUGCGUAGGCGGCUUGUUAAGUAGGGUGUGAAAGCCCCCGGCUCAACCGGGGAAUGGCGCCCUAAACUGGCGAGCUAGAGUGAGAUAGGGGUGUGUGGAACUUCCGGUGGAGCGAUGAAAUGUGUUGAUAUCGGAAGGAACGCCGGUGGCGAAAGCGACACACUGGAUCUUGUCUGACGCUGAGGCACGAAAGCCAGGGGAGCGAACGGG
rnacentral:rRNA from 1 species